AUUGAACGCUGGCGGCAUGCCUUACACAUGCAAGUCGAACGGUAACGCGGGGCAACCUGGCGACGAGUGGCGAACGGGUGAGUAAUAUAUCGGAACGUGCCCAGUAGUGGGGGAUAGCCCGGCGAAAGCCGGAUUAAUACCGCAUACGACCUACGGGUGAAAGGCGGGGGAUCGCAAGACCUCGCGCUAUUGGAGCGGCCGAUAUCAGAUUAGGUAGUUGGUGGGGUAAAGGCCUACCAAGCCUACGAUCUGUAGCUGGUCUGAGAGGACGACCAGCCACACUGGGACUGAGACACGGCCCAGACUCCUACGGGAGGCAGCA
rnacentral:rRNA from 1 species